GAUAAGAAAAGCGUAAAUUAUGGGCGAUAAAAAUAUGUAGAUAUUAUUUUGUUAUCUAUCUUUAAAGAGCGCAUGCUCUUGAAAUUCAUGCGUGUUAUUCGAACGUUUUUAUAUUGUCAGCCAUGGGAAUGGAUGAGCACACAGGUCAACAGCGAUUGUGUGACAUAUGUAAGGCAAUGUUUAAAUUUUUUUUACACUUAAACAAUGAGAUUUUUUAUUAAAUAAUUCAAUUUAUUAACUAAUAUUAUUUAUUGGGAAAAUAGUUGUUGGCAAGGAACAUCUUGAGUAUUUUUAUUAUUUGUUUUAGUUAGUUGUUAAGUUUUAAAAAAGCUAAGAAGCGU